rnacentral:rRNA from 1 species
GUCCACGCUGUAAACGAUGUCGACUAGCCGUUGGGACCUUUAAGGACUUGGUGGCGAAGUUAACGCGAUAAGUCGACCGCCUGGGGAGUACGGCCGCAAGGUUAAAACUCAAAUGAAUUGACGGGGGCCCGCACAAGCGGUGGAGCAUGUGGUUUAAUUCGAAGCAACGCGAAGAACCUUACCUACCCUUGAAAUCCUGCGAACUUACUAGAGAUAGUUUGGUGCCUUCGGGAACGCAGUGAC